GACGAGCGCUGGCGGCGUGCUUAACACAUGCAAGUCGAACGGAAAGGCCCUGCUUUUGUGGGGUGCUCGAGUGGCGAACGGGUGAGUAACACGUGAGUAACCUGCCCUUGACUUUGGGAUAACUUCAGGAAACUGGGGCUAAUACCGGAUAGGAGCUCCUGCUGCAUGGUGGGGGUUGGAAAGUUUCGGCGGUUGGGGAUGGACUCGCGGCUUAUCAGCUUGUUGGUGGGGUAGUGGCUUACCAAGGCUUUGACGGGUAGCCGGCCUGAGAGGGUGACCGGCCACAUUGGGACUGAGAUACGGCCCAGACUCCUACGGGAGGCAGCAGUGGGGAAUAUUGCACAAUGGGCGGAAGCCUGAUGCAGCAACGCCGCGUGCGGGAUGACGGCCUUCGGGUUGUAAACCGCUUUCGCCUGUGACGAAGCGUGAGUGACGGUAAUGGGUAAAGAAACACCGGCUAACUACGU
rnacentral:rRNA from 1 species